GGGAUGUGGCUCAGUGGUGGAGUGCUUGCCUUGAAUGCUUGAAACCUUGGGUUCAAUCCUCAGUACCCA
rnacentral:tRNA from 1 species